rnacentral:lncRNA from 1 species
GUCCGGUCUAUGUUUUAGUUAGUUUUUUUUUCUGUUUGUAUCGAUCUGAUGAGAUAAGCCAUUUUCAACUGGCUUCUAUAGUUUGUUCAUAUGUUAGAAGGUUGAGCGCUCACAAACAUGUUUAAACCCGCCACAUUUUGUAUGCGCCUGUCUUUUGUAUAGAACCUGCAAUUUAGUGGUUGUAAUGGUUCAUGUCAUUAAUUUUUGUUUUUCCCAAUUGAUUUGUGAAUUAUGCCGUUAUUUUUCUCAAUUUAAUUGUUUCACUUUUUAUUUAUGUCGUGUCCUUUCAUAAUCGACUUUAAGGUAUCGGCUUUUGUCAUUGUUGAAGGUCGUACCGUUACCUCUUAUUGCUAACAUCUACUUAAUAUGAACUUUGGUGGAAAGUUGUCUCAUUGGCAAUCAUACAACAUCGCCUUAUAUUUAUAAUCUUAGGAAAGGUAUAGGAAAUAGUAAGGAAAUUGGAAAUAUAUAUGCACG